rnacentral:rRNA from 1 species
GACGAACGCUGGCGGCGCGCUUAACACAUGCAAGUCGAACGGAAAGGCCUGCUUUCCCUUGUGGAUUGCGGGUACUCGAGUGGCGAACGGGUGAGUAACACGUGAGUGAUCUGCCCCCAACUUGGGUAUAAGCCUGGGAAACUGGGUCUAAUUCCCGAUAGGACUGCAGGGUGGUGCCUGUGGUGGAAAACGAUUUUCUAGUGGUUGGGGAUGAGCUCGCGGCCUAUCAGCUUGUUGGUGGGGUAAUGGCCUACCAAGGCGGCGACGGGUAGCCGGCCUGAGAAGGUGGACGGCCACAUUGGGACUGAGAUACGGCCCAGACUCCUACGGGAGGCAGCAGUGGGGAAUAUUGCACAAUGGGCGGAAGCCUGAUGCAGCGACGCCGCGUGGGGGAUGACGGCCUUCGGGUUGUAAACUCCUUUCGACCGCGAGGAAGCCACCUGGUUGGAAGGGUGGUGACGGUAGUGGUAGAAGAAGCACCGGCUAACUACGUG